rnacentral:rRNA from 1 species
UACGAAGGGGGCUAGCGUUGCUCGGAAUUACUGGGCGUAAAGCGCACGUAGGCGGACCGAUAAGUCGGGGGUGAAAUCCUGGAGCUCAACUCCAGAACUGCCUUCGAAACUGCCGGUCUUGAGUUCGGGAGAGGUGAGUGGAACUGCGAGUGUAGAGGUGAAAUUCGUAGAUAUUCGCAAGAACACCAGUGGCGAAGGCGGCUCACUGGCCCGGAACUGACGCUGAGGCGCGAAAGCGUGGGGAGCAAACAGG